GUCAGGGGGGGUCACCUGGGGGAGGGCCAGCCCCACUGUGUCCACUCCUCCCCGGCCAACUGGUCACCUCUGUCACCUCUGCCGCACCCGGCCCCUUCAUUGUCAGAUGGAGUCUCGCUCUGUCGCCCAGGCUGAAGUGCAGUGACUCAAUCUUAGCUCACUGCAACCUCCACUUCCCGGGUUCAAGCAAUUCUCCUGCCUCAGACUCCUGAGCAGCUGGGAUUAUAGAAACCCUUUUGUGAGCACACCUGAAUUUGGAGGAUCACGUCGCAAGCUCUCAAUAGCCACUUGAACUCAUGGCCUUAAAGAGCACAAGUAUCGGUCUUUGUCUUAGUCAAGCUUUCUAGGAGCAACUCAGCAAUUCUGUUUCCAAUAAUCACCUAACAGGUAAACA
rnacentral:sRNA from 1 species